rnacentral:rRNA from 1 species
CACAACCUUCCUUUUAGUGGGGAAUAGCCCAGAGAAAUUUGGAUUAAUACCCCGUAAGAUGUUGGUGAGGCAUCUCACUGAUAUUAUAGUGGCAACACGCUAGAAGACGGGUGUGCGUAUGAUUAGGUAGUUGGCGGGGUAACGGCCCACCAAGCCUUCGAUCAUUAACUGGUGUGAGAGCACGACCAGUCACACGGGCACUGAGACACGGGCCCGACUCCUACGGGAGGCAGCAGUAAGGAAUAUUGGUCAAUGGAGGAAACUCUGAACCAGCCAUGCCGCGUGGAGGAUGAAGGUCCUCUGGAUUGUAAACUUCUUUUAUAUGGGACGAAAAAAGGGCUUUCUAGCUCGACUGACGGUACCAUAUGAAUAAGCACCGGCUAACUCCGUGCCAGCAGCCGCGGUAAUACGGAGGGUGCAAGCGUUAUCCGGAU